rnacentral:rRNA from 1 species
UUAGUGAGGCUUUCGGACUGGCCCAGGGACGGCGGCAACGCCGACCCAGGGCCGGAAAGUUGUUCAAACUUGGUCAUUUAGAGGAAGUAAAAGUCGUAACAAGGUUUCCGUAGGUGAACCUGCGGAAGGAUCAUUACAGAGUUCAUGCCCUCACGGGUAGAUCUCCCACCCUUGAAUAUUAUACCUUCGUUGCUUUGGCAGGCCGUGGAAACACCAGAGGCUCCGGCUGAUGCGUGCCUGCCAGAGGAAACAAACUCUGUUUUUAGUGAUGUCUGAGUACUAUAUAAUAGUUAAAACUUUCAACAACGGAUCUCUUGGUUCUGGCAUCGAUGAAGAACGCAGCGAAAUGCGAUAAGUAAUGUGAAUUGCAGAAUUCAGUGAAUCAUCGAAUCUUUGAACGCACAUUGCGCCCCGUGGUAUUCCGCGGGGCAUGCCUGUUCGAGCGUCAUUUCAACCCAUCACGCUCCGGCGUGGUCUUGGGGCCUGCGGUUUCGCAGCCUCUAAACCCAGUGGCGGUGCUAUUGAGCUCUGAGCGUAGUAAUUUCUCUCGCUAUAGAGUCUCGGUGGUGACUUGCCAACAACCCCCAAUUUUUAUCAGGUUGACCUCGGAUCAGGUAGGGAUACCCGCUGAACUUAAGCAUAUCAAUAAGCGGAGGAAAAGAAACCAACAGGGAUUACCUCAGUAACGGCGAGUGAAGCGGUAACAGCUCAAAUUUGAAAUCUGCCGCAAGGNCGAGUUGUAAUUUGUAGAAGAUGCUUUGGGUAUGGNCCCGGUCUAAGUUCGUUGGAACACGACGUCAUAGAGGGUGAGAAUCCCGUAUGUGACUGGGUGCUUUUGCCUAUGUAAAGCUCUUUCNACGAGUCGAGUUG